rnacentral:misc_RNA from 1 species
GAUGAAGAACGUAGCGAAAUGCGAUAAGUAAUGUGAAUUGCAGAAUUCAGUGAAUCAUCGAAUCUUUGAACGCACAUUGCGCCCGCCAGCAUUCUGGCGGGCAUGCCUGUUCGAGCGUCAUUUCAACCCUCGCAGCCCAUCUGGGCAGCGGUGUUGGGGACCGGCACCACCGGCGAAGCCCUUAGGGGCCCAGCCGGCGCCGCCCCCGAAAUACAGUGGCGGUCUCGCUGCAGCCUCCCUUGCGUAGUAGCACACCUCGCACCGGAGCGCAGCGCGGCCACGCCGUAAAACCCCCGACUUUCUGAGUUUGACCUCGAAUCAGGUAGGAAUAACCGCUGAACUUAAGCAUAUCAAUAGGCGGAGGA